UACGGAGGGGGCUAGCGUUGUUCGGAAUUACUGGGCGUAAAGCGCGCGUAGGCGGAUCUGCAAGUCGGGGGUGAAAUCCUGGAGCUCAACUCCAGAACUGCCUUCGAUACUGGAGAGCUCGAGUCCGGGAGAGGUGAGUGGAACUGCGAGUGUAGAGGUGAAAUUCGUAGAUAUUCGCAAGAACACCAGUGGCGAAGGCGGCUCACUGGCCCGGUACUGACGCUGAGGUGCGAAAGCGUGGGGAGCAAACAGG
rnacentral:rRNA from 1 species